AUUGAACGCUGGCGGCAGGCUUAACACAUGCAAGUCGAGCGAGCGGCGGACGGGUGAGUAAUGUAUGGGAAACUGCCCGAUGGAGGGGGAUAACUACUGGAAACGGUAGCUAAUACCGCAUACCAUCGGAUGUGCCCAGAUGGGAUUAGCUAGUAGGUGGGGUAAAGGCUCACCUAGGCGACGAUCUCUAGCUGGUCUGAGAGGAGGACCAGCCACACUGGAACGUAGAUACGGUCCAGGCUCCUACGGGAGGCAGCAGUGGGGAAUAUUGCACAAUGGGCGCAAGCCUGAUGCAGCCAUGCCGCGUGUAUGAAGAAGGCCUUCGGGUUGUAAAGUACUUUCAGCGAGGAGGCGUUACUCGCAGAAGAAGCACCGGCUAACUCCGUGCCAGCAGCCGCGGUAAUUC
rnacentral:rRNA from 1 species